UGUUCUUGAUGGACUGGCAGGAACUCCAUGUCCACCACUGCCACUCCUGUGUUGUGGCAUUCCUCCUUGCCGUUGGACACCACGGCCAUAGUACUCAUGUGCUUGAUAUUCAACCGGACCACCACCUGGUUGAUGUGAUGUUAGCCCUCCACGACCCUGGUAACGUCCACCACGUCCCUGGUGUUGUCCACCACCGCGACCAGCUUGUUGAGCAUAUUGAGGAUUGGCAGGUUGCCAACCACCACCUCCAUGCUGUUGAGCUCUCUCAGGUCGCUGUGAAGGACCCCGUCCAGGAGU
rnacentral:precursor_RNA from 1 species